rnacentral:rRNA from 1 species
GACGAACGCUGGCGGCGUGCCUAAUACAUGCAAGUAGAACGCUGAAGAGAGGAGCUUGCUCUUCUUGGAUGAGUUGCGAACGGGUGAGUAACGCGUAGGUAACCUGCCUUGUAGCGGGGGAUAACUAUUGGAAACGAUAGCUAAUACCGCAUAACAAUGGAUGACACAUGUCAUUUAUUUAAAAGGGGCAAUUGCUCCACUACAAGAUGGACCUGCGUUGUAUUAGCUAGUAGGUGAGGUAAUGGCUCACCUAGGCGACGAUACAUAGCCGACCUGAGAGGGUGAUCGGCCACACUGGGACUGAGACACGGCCCAGACUCCUACGGGAGGCAGCAGUAGGGAAUCUUCGGCAAUGGGGGCAACCCUGACCGAGCAACGCCGCGUGAGUGAAGAAGGUUUUCGGAUCGUAAAGCUCUGUUGUAAGUCAAGAACGGGUGUGAGAGUGGAAAGUUCACACUGUGACGGUAGCUUACCAGAAAGGGACGGCUAACUACGUG